rnacentral:tRNA from 1 species
GUGGGUGUAGCUCAAUGGUAGAGCACAUGGUUGUGGUCCAUGUGGUUGCGGGUUCAAAUCCCGUCAUCCACCCCA